GGAGAAGUGGCCGAGUGGCUGAAGGCGCGCCCCUGCUAAGGGUGUAUACGUUCACGCGUAUCGUGGGUUCGAAUCCCACCUUCUCCGCCA
rnacentral:tRNA from 1 species